CUUUUUCAUCUGGUAAAAUAGCUUUCCAAUAGAAACUUCAUUCAGUUUCAACUGGAUAAACAUCUAGAUGUCUUCUUUACCCAGGUGUAUAUAUGUCUCCCAUAACUCAGGAGUGUCUUUCUCAAAGACAACAGCGCCCCUCAGGAAGAAUGGAGCCUCUGUCUCCCAGUGUUUAUGGAGGACGGAAUCCUAACUUCGAUAGUUGCCAGUAGGGAGAGAUUGCAGCAUAUGGGCAGGUGGAUGGAAUCACUCCAACAGAGAGAAGAAUGAUGGUAUAGGAGAGAGACUAAGGUAAUUUGGGGACUCGAGACCUUGAGUAGGCAAGGGUCCCUGUAUACGGCAUGAGAUUGGCAGUCCAUCAGCUGCGUGAGGAAUGCGGUCUAGGGCUUAGGGUCCCAGUAGGAUAGUAGCGUUAAUGGCAAGAAACCUGGAAAUUUUCUCAGGAAUGCUUCUAGAUUUUAACUGAGGUAAGGGGCCAGGCCAUAAACUGAGAGUGACGAAGAGAAGGAAGCUUUUAGAAGUCUGAGGAAAAGAGAACAUUGUGAAAUAGUUGUCUUAGAAAGUGGGAAAGCAAAUUGGCAAAGGAAAUGCUUUGUUUUCUAUCACUGCAACCGCUAUCAAAGCCCCAGGACAAUAAGACUCACAAGUGAGAUGAUUGAGUUUUCUUGCUUUAUACAUAAAGUGUUGUGGCUGCCUGGCCAACGGCCUUUCUCUGGCCCAGCCUUUCUUCCUUUUUAGACCUAAGCUUGCCUCCCACUACCGGUGCUGAAAUUCCAGAAACUUGCUUUCCUACUAGUCUUUCUUUCAACUAAGUCUUUGCUUAUUAUCUUUUUUGGCCAAGGAGACCGGAAAAGAAAUCCAUUCUCGGGGGUGGGACUCUUCUUGGAAUUAUUUUCUUCAUUGAUGAGAGGGAGAUGCUCUAGGAGAAGUGCCUGCUCCUGUCUUGUGGCCUUUGAAUUCUGUGACAUGGGGUGUGGGGUGUGGCUGUGACAGCCACCUCACAAGGGUGAGUGGAAGCAGAGACUGUGCAGACUCAGUGGAUCCAGAGAUCUGCACUGUGAACCUGCUGACACCUCUGCCCUGGAAUUGUGUUACUUUAGUUUUAUUGACCUUUAACCACUUUUAACUCGGUGUUCUUUUACUUGAAACCAAACCAUCCAAGCAGAUACAAAAUGUGGCUGUAGGUAAAUAAAUUAGGAAAUUAGGCCACAACCAGUGAUAUUCAGAACAUAUAAUAGACCAACAUCACAAUUAUAUUGUUCUUUUAAAUGUUGAGACAGAGUAAGGCAAAUGGUUUAAAUACUUUGAAUUCUUCUACAUUAUAUAAAUAGAAAAUCUAAUUUACUGUAUUGAAUUGUUAGUAUUCCACCUUUAAAUUUCAUAGUGUAUCACACAAGGUCUAAUAUUAACAUACCCUAAAUUCACUUAAUUCAUACAUGCAUGCAUUCUAUAGCUGAAAGUAAUAACUUGAAUAGAGGAGAGAUAUAUGUGUGAAAUACUUUUACUUAUAAUUGUUUUAAGAAAGAAAUUAUUAUUGAAGUUAUAAUUGCCAGAGAUCACUAAGCUUAAGAUCUAAAGUUAGAGGACCAUAGCCUAUAAUAUUGAGCUGCUAUUAAAGAACAAUUGCAUUUUUCCACAAUCCUUUCCUGUUUCUCUGCUGUGAAUAAAUUAUCGUUAUCAAAAUAUAAGGAUCUCUGUGGAUUUCACAGAAGAUCAGUACUUCUCUAAGCCUAUAUGCCUUUAAUUUUAGAUUAAAUACUUGUGGGGAUUGUGGAAGUGGGGAUAAAGAAACUUAAAACAACAAUAACAACAAAAAACCCUGGACUACUGUGGUUUCCUAGCACUCUUGGCUACUACCACCUAGCUCUUCUGAGUUUCUGAUGUUGGAUAGAGCAUUAUAAUUAUGUACAUAUUGCAAUCUUCAGAAUGCCCUUUACAGUCUUGUAAAAGAAGAUUUGUUAACUACAUUUAAGGAUAAACACCUUUUGAAAAAGGAGCACUUCCUUUCUUUAAAGUGUUAUAGAACCCCUAUCAAUCUCAAAAUAAAUUACCUGCAGAGGUAGAGAAGAAAACAAUCCCCUUUAUGGUAAACUGCUUUUCUUCAAUGAGUUAGAAUGCCUCAGCUAUUGAAAGCUUUAUAGCUUUAUUUGUUGGAAACAUGGCAGAAAUAACUCAUAUAAAUUCUAUUUGUAUAAACUGCUGUUUCUGUUGCUACAAGUGUUUUAGCUGAUGUUUUAUGUAUUUGAUCUUUAUGUAGUGUCCCAUUAAUGCCAAAAAGAAUUGCAUAGACAGAAUGAGAUCACCUCCACGAGUUUUCUAAGGAACAGAUUUAGCAUGGAAAUACUUGCCAAGAAUAAUCCACAGCAAGCUCUGGGAAAUCAGUAUUGGAAUUAAAAGUCACAGCCAGUUCAGCCUCUUAUUUUUUUGCAUUUGUAGUCCCCUAGAUUAAAUUAUGGAGAAUGUGAAUCAUUGAAAGAAGAAUGCAUGUCAGAAUUGUGUUUUCAUAAUACUCUCUGGGAUAUACAUUUGUUUACUUGGGCUAGUUUGCAACAAUGUAAAGUUUUAAAGGUUAAAUUGAGAAAAUUCAGAACUAGGACAACCUGUGAUUCUGUAUUUUAUUCCCUGAGACUUCAAUAUUUUAUAAGAAUAAAAUUUAGAGGAGGCAGAAUCGCAGUAAACAAUUAAAUUUUUUCUUACUGCAUCUCAAUAAGACCACUGGCAACCCAAACACAUAAACAUCCAGGUGAAGAAAAUGUCUAACUUUUUACAGAUCUAUCAACACAUUGCAAAUUAUACAGCAUCUAUAUUUUAAAACAAAUUUCAUUUCUUAGAAUUUAUAAUCCUCAGGAACUAGGUCCAAAUAUUUUGCUACAUUAGUAUUGUUAUUAAUAACCAAAAAUAGAAAGUGGGGAGAAUUAUGUAAAUUGUUAAUAAAAGAAAAUUUGGCUAAAGAAGAAAGUAGUAAAACUGUACAUUGGAAUACUAUGUAUGCUUUAAAACUUAUUGAACAGGUUGGGUACGGUGGCUCAUGCCUUAAUCCCAGCACUUUAGGAGGC